CUGAUAUUUGAUAUGUAGGUUAUUUACAAGAAAAUACAGAUCAAGUUUGAAUUUUGUUCCUGUUUGAUGAUAUCUGACAGAGAUACAUUGCCUCUUGAACUUGGGGAAAAAAUGGGACAUUGAACUUGCCGCUCUCUAACUUUUGAAGUGAUGCAUAUGUAUAAAGUUGAUAUUUCAUAUAAGCUUUAAUUUAUUAGAAAAUAAAGGUUCAAGUUUGAACUUGCUUUCAGUCCAAUGACUUUUGACAGAGUUAUGGCUCUUGAACUUUUAAGAAAAUAAGUAAUUUUCAGGAAUUUAUAAUUAGCUUAUUAUAAUAAUAAUAUUAUUCUGCAUCAAACAAAUGUAUCCUAAAUUUGGCAUGUAGAAUUUUGCCUGUGGUGGCAUUGUGGGCAUUACUACACAUCUAGUUUAUUUGUGUAAAAGAAGAUUUACAUAAAUUAGAUUAAGGUAUUCAAGGCAUGAUUCUUUUUAACCUCAGGACUCGAUCAUGAAAACCACAAAUUGUAUGUGAUAUGUCUAUAAUAUUUUGUUAAUCUGCGCUAUUGACUAUUUUACUGUACUUGCAGUGUCUUUUUAUUAAAAUAAAAUGACCAUUAUGCAAACACU
rnacentral:sRNA from 1 species